UACGUAGGGGGCAAGCGUUGUCCGGAUUUACUGGGCGUAAAGAGCGUGUAGGCGGCCACGCAGGUCCGUUGUGAAAACUGGAGGCUCAACCUUCAGACGUCGACGGAAACCGUGUGGCUAGAGUCCGGAAGAGGAGAGUGGAAUUCCUGGUGUAGCGGUGAAAUGCGCAGAUAUCUGGAGGAACACCGGUGGCGAAGGCGGCAUUCUGGACUACAACUGACACUGAGGAACGAAAGCCAGGGGAGCAAACGGG
rnacentral:rRNA from 1 species